rnacentral:rRNA from 1 species
GACGAACGCUGGCGGCGUGCUUAACACAUGCAAGUCGAACGAAAAGAGGGAAAGAGCUUGCUCUUUUCAGAAUUGAGUGGCAAACGGGUGAGUAACACGUAAACAACCUGCCUUCAGGAUGGGGACAACAGACGGAAACGACUGCCAAUACCGAAUAAGUUCCAAGAGCCGCAUGGCCCAUGGAAGAAAAGGUGGCCUCUACCUGUAAGCUAUCGCCUGAAGAGGGGUUUGCGUCUGAUUAGCUGGUUGGAGGGGUAACGGCCCACCAAGGCGACGAUCAGUAGCCGGUCUGAGAGGAUGAACGGCCACACUGGAACUGAGACACGGUCCAGACUCCUACGGGAGGCAGCAGUGGGGAAUCUUCCGCAAUGGGCGAAAGCCUGACGGAGCAACGCCGCGUGAGUGAUGACGGCCUUCGGGUUGUAAAACUCUGUGAUCCGGGACGAAAAGGCAGAGUGCGAAGAACAAACUGC